rnacentral:rRNA from 1 species
UACGUAGGGUGCAAGCGUUGUCCGGAAUUAUUGGGCGUAAAGAGCUCGUAGGCGGCUUGUCGCGUCGGAUGUGAAAACCCGGGGCUCAACCCCGGGCCUGCAUUCGAUACCGGCAGACUAGAGUUCGGUAGGGGAGUCUGGAAUUCCUGGUGUAGCGGUGAAAUGCGCAGAUAUCAGGAGGAACACCGAUGGCGAAGGCAGGUCUCUGGGCAUUAACUGACGCUGAGGAGCGAAAGCAUGGGGAGCGAACAGG